AAAGUCGUAACAAGGUCUCCGUUGGUGAACCAGCGGAGGGAUCAUUACAGAGUUAUAAACUCAGACCCGACGCGAACCUGAAACUGUUGCUUCGGCGGGCUGCCGGCUCUUGCCGCGCCCGCCAAAGGUCUACGUUAGGCUCUCUAGCUGGGGUGUAUUCCCCAUACUGUCCUCUGAAUCGCUUCCAAACUGGUCAAAACUUUCAACAACGGAUCUCUUGGUUCUG
rnacentral:misc_RNA from 1 species